AUGCCUAAGAUAUCUGAGGGUUAUGUUACGGAUGGAGAGAUAGCUAGAGACUUUCUUGCCUGCAAAGGUAGAGACGAUCUUAAGAAAUUAUUAUGCAAAUUGAAAGAAAAAUCCUUGAAUGCUAGAAUGAAAUGUGAUCCUAAGUUUGCUACUUCACCUAUCUUUGUUACUGAUAAGGAUUAUGAAUUCUCUGUCGACCCAAAGUUAAUUACUUUGGUUGAAUCUAAUCCUUUCCAUGUCUAUGGAACUGAAACUGUUGUGGCACAUCUUACUAAAUUAAAUGAUAUAGCCACCCUAUUUGCUCCUGAUGAGAAAAUUCGCUACUACUAUAUCCUUAAGUUAUCUCCAUUCUCAUUAAAGGGUGAUGCUAAGAUAUGGUACAAUGCUCUUACUCCUGGUUGUGUGUGUAGUCCCCAGGAUAUGAUUUAUUACUUCUCUGAAAAAUAUUUUCCUACUCAUAGGAAACAAGUUGCCUUACAGGAAAUAUUUAACUUUUUGCAAAUUGAAGAAGAGAGUCUCCCACAAGCUUGGGGGAGGAUUCUCCAAUUACUAAAUGCUUUGGCUAAUCAUCCUCUUAAGAAAAAUGAAAUACUUGAUAUCUUCUAUAAUGGACUAACCGAUGCUUCUAGGGACUUCCUAGAUAGUUGUGCUGGUUGUGUUUUCAGGGAACAAACUAUUGAACGAACUGAGGAAUUAUUGAAUAACAUAUAG
rnacentral:rRNA from 1 species